CAAGCGGCAUGCAGCACACACAACUGAACACGGCUCUUCCAUUUUUCUGGAGCGCAGGCUUAGCCCUGAGCUAACUGCUGCCAAUCCUCCUCUUUUUGCCAAGGAAGACUGGCCCUGAGCUAACAUCCGUGCCCAUCUUCCUCUACUUUAUAUGUGGGACACCUACCACAGCAUGGCUUGCCAAGCCGUGGUGCCAUGUCUGCACCCGGAUCCGAACCGGCGAAUCCCGGGCCACCGAAGCGGAACAUGCGCACUUAACUGCUACGCCACUGAGCUGGCCCCUUGUUUAGCCUGUUUUACACAUGAAGAAACUGAGGAUGCUGCCACAGCAUGGCUUGAUGAGCGGUGUGUAGGUCUGCACCCAGGAUCCGAACCUGCAAACCCCAGGCCACGGAAGCAGAGUGCGUGAACUUAACCACUAUGCUACUGGGCUGGCCCCAACAUAAAACUUUUAAAAGCAAACAUAGGAGAAUAACUUCAUGUCCUUGGGGCAAAGAUUUCUCAAAAAAACAUAAAAAGUACCAACCACAAAAGAAAAAAAUUGAAGAGUUUUUCUUUUCAUUUUAUUUUCAUUAAAAUAAAAAAUUCUGUUCACCAGAAGAUACUGAUAAGAGAAUGAAAAAGAAGCCACACGUGGGAGAAGAUAUUUGCACUACAUAUAUCC
rnacentral:lncRNA from 1 species